CAUGAGAAUGUGGGUUUGAUCCCUGGCCCUGCUCUGUGGGUUAAGGAUCUGGUGUUGCAGUGGCUGCAGUGCAGGUCACAGAUGCAGCUUGGAUGUGGCAUAGGCCGGAAGCUCUUAUUCGACCCUUAGCCUGGGAACUUCCAUUUCCUACAGGUAUGGAAGAAAAAAAAAACAAAGCUUAUUAUGUCCACGUACUAUGUCAUGCCCUUGACAAUUUUAGGCUUGCUGUGGGUAAGUUGCCCAGUUUACACAGUAGGCUUUUACUUUAAGCCUAGCAUUUUAAAGGCCCCCCUCCCAUUCUCUGGCAAACUUUGCUUGGUGGAAAUCUGGGCAAAGGAAUGUGCCAGUCUGGAGACUCUACCCCUUCUAGACCAUACUCCUGGCACUGUGGAAUUUAGAAUUCCCUUUCCCACAUGAUCCUUAUCGUGUUGCUUCACCAUCAGUCUACAAAGUAGACUACGCAUCCAGGGUGUGCAGCCAUAAGCCUUGAGUGGUGGCUGAGAGUAGAUAAAUACUGGCUGAUUUAGGAGAUGGGCUGAUGAAAUAGAGCUUGGAUGUAUGGGCUAGGAUGUCCAUGCUACCUCCUCUGGGCCUUUCCUGCUAUAAGGAUAGAAUAAGGUGUGGGAAGAACUGUAGGGCAGGUCAUGAGUCAAGGGCCUAAUUUUUUACUCUUGUGCCAAAUGCCAAAAAAUAAAGGCAAUUCUAAUUUGAGUUAGAAUUUAUCCCAGAAAAUUGGAAACCAGCACUCCCACUCUUAAUCUAGUAUGCCACUAUAUUUUUUUGGAUAUAUUCACAAUGAGUUAUAACUCACUUUGUGUUCAUUUUGGAAGCAUCAAUCACAUUCUAACAGUGAUAUCAAACAAACAUCAUAAAGCAUAAUGUCCAGAAAGUUUUAGUAGAAUUGCAGGGGACGUACGAAGUCAUAAACAUAGUUAUAUAGUAAAUGAAAGAAUAUUCUGUAGUUUAUAAUGGUCUUGGUUGUACCAAAUGGGAAUUCAGAUUUUUCUAGGUGAACCCGGUCUAAUAAUAGGCUUGGUAGAUUUAUACUCAGCAACUAGCAUUAUGUGUAUGCAUGUGUUUCAGGUGAUUAAAAAGAAAGAAUUAUGACUGCUUGGGAAGAAGAUUAAAAUAAUAUGUAUGAUGAACCAGAGGUGAUGGCAUGGUGAAUUCUAGCCAGCCCUAGGAACAAUAGACAAGUAUUUGUUGCUAUUAGGAAGAGACCUUUAAUAGUUGUACCUUUUACAGAUAGAAUUUAGCAGAUUAUUGAAGUCUUAUCAAAAUAAUCCCAAGUGACAUCAAUGAAAAGCAUCAGUUGAAAGCCCAGAGAAUAUUUUUUAAAAUGCAUAUUUACUACUACUGCUACUACUACUACUUCUAUUUCAAAUACUACUACCAUUUUGAAAUUCCACUGGUUCAAAAUGCAGAAGGAAGUUAUUCUUCCGGAGAACUAACACCAAUGGACAUGGCAAACUACAACUGGAAGAUGGAAACAUCUAGGAAAAGAGGAUGGUGGACAAUACGAGCAUGAUGGAGGGCAGGGGCAUCCAGAUAUAGGACUUGUGCAAGAAAACAUAUGCCGUAUUCUAAUGCUGCUGCAGGAUAUUUGGAGUGAAAACUUUCAAUGUGUGUGAUCCUCUGCUUUAUAAAUAGAACCUCAAAAGCUAGUAGAGUUGCUUAUGUGACUUUAUCACUCACAUGAGAUUUCUUUUCACAAACGAGGGGCUAAAUCUAUUCCAUAUGUGGUUGUAAAAUACAAGGUUGGUACCAAAUAAUGUAUAGUAUUAAAAGGCUUUGGCAAAAGUGAUUUAAUUAUUAGAGCUGUUUCAAGAAGGUCAUUAAUAGAAAGUAAAUCAAGUAGAAGCAAGUAAACCACUUGGCAGGGAUUUUAUAAAGAGGAUACAAAUGAAAACAGAAUGAAUACUAAUACCUUUUAUAAAAAGCUUCAAUUUUAGCAGGAAGUUUUAAAUUCAAUGCUCUUAACACAUUCAAAUAGAAUGAAGAGAAGGUAAACACAGGAUAGAUACUGAAGAUUUAAGCAAAUUCCAGCAGAAAUCAAUUCAAUUUGAUGAUACUUUGUUACAGUGUUUAUUUUAAAAUAUUUGAUGAAAUGUUAGCUCCCUCAAAAACAUCAAUAAAAGAUAUACUGCAGUAUAUCUGAUACAUUUUAUUUCUUAUUUGGAAGAACACCAAUGUCUCAUAGUAUCUUUCUUAAAUCCCCAAUAACAGUCAUUCAAGAUGGUAAAAAACAGUAUAUCCCUAUAGCAAACAAACAAGCCCCUGACACGUGUCCAAAUAUACCAAGUGGAAAAUAGUUGAAAUUUCUUUAGGAAACAAAGUGUUUUCUAUAGAGGGUGAUGGAAAAUGGUGGUAAAUGAAUGUGCACAUUAUAUGUGCUUGAGGGCUAAUAUUUGAAGAGGUAGCAGACCAUUUAAUUAGGGAUUUUAUUAGUCAGAACAAAUCCAUCUAAUAGCAAGGUUGUUCUUAUCAGUACCUAGUUGCUUUCUCUGAUUCAGUCUCUUAGGAGUCUGCAUGAACAUUUACCUGUGUUUAUACGGCCUGUAUAGGUGUGAAUAUGUGUGUAUGUACAGGAUGGGGUGAAGUAAGAGGAAGUAUGUUUCCACUUUCUGUGUUUAGGGAUUCUUUCUGGUGUCUGGAGAAUCUAUUAAAGUCGAAGUAUCUCUUUUUUUCUGGAAUAAUAAAAACUGUUUGGAAUGAAAUAUUUUUCAUCUGCUGAGAGUGAGAGCUCGCCUCUCUCUGUAUAGAUUAUAAAUCAGCUUCUUUAUAUCUGAUAUUGUCCUUAACCCAUUGCCUUUACCUUUCCCAUAAGAGAGAGUAAAAUUAAAAUGCAUAAUUAUUUCCGUAACCAAAUUUUGGCUCUAAUAUCAAAGUCUUGCCAUUCAAAGAAGUGUAUAGAAAUUACUAUGUCCUUUUCAUAAUCCAAAUGGCAUUAGAAAAAAAUAAGACUUUUUCCUAAGUAAAAUUACAGUCAAUUUUAUUCCAAGCUUUCAUAGAAAGCUUUGCAUGUGUGAGUCAGAUCCUCAGAGCAAAUCUCAUUUACAAUUCAUGACAUCUUUUCAUCCAAUUAUUUAGUUUCAUUUCCUUUGCAUUUUAUUUCUUCUAACUUUUAGAUUCACAUUUAUUUAGCCCAAAUUGCUAUAAUCUUUUUCUCCCCUUGCCAAAAAUCCUCUAUGUACCUGAGAAGACUUUAUUUUUUCUUUUGUGAGUUUGUUAAACUCAGAUAUGGCUCUAAAUCAUUUAGGCUACCAAGGAGGGAAUGUGGCAAAAAUUUUAUAAAAGUAACAUAUUUGUAUUACAUCAUAGGUAUGCUGGUUAAUUCUUACAACUGUUCCUUUCAAACUGUUACAUCAAUAAUUUCACAACUUUUACAGUCCUAUUUUAUUUCAUAUAAACGUGUGGAAAGUGAUUCUAAUUUUUUAUUCUUUUGGUGUUAGGCAUUACAUACCCUUCUUAUAUUGGGCCAUUUAUUUUGAAUGACUACACACAUUCCUAUUCUCAAUUUUGAGUAGCAAGGGAAGUUGUAAUACUGUUAGAUUUUUAAUAUUCUCUUUUUACAAGCAUAUAUUUUAAAAGGAUUUUGAGCCAUAUGUAUGCUUAGGAAACUCAAAUCACUACUUGUCUCUUAGAUCAUAAAUAAACUCUGCUUAUUCUACUUACCCAACCCUCCUUCCCAACAUUCCAACAGUUUCAAUCAGAGCAACACUUCACAUCCCAUGCAUACAUAGCUUAUCUCUCCUUCCCUGGAGAAUUGUGUGAUUCCCUUUUGUUUGUUUCCUAAAUUGCGAAUUCCAGUAUGCAAACUUCUUACCACAACCUCCUCUUCUUCCAAGUUUCUUGUUCAACCAUCGCACCAGGGCCAAUCUUUGAUGUAGAAAAGCUAUUCUUUCUAAUGACCCAUCUGGUUCGUUGUUAGGCUUGUCAUGUAUUCAUUCCCUUCUUUAUACAGCUGAAAUUUAUUAUUCACCUUAUCAAUAACACUUAUUAAUACUUUAAUUUUAUUUCCCUUUGUACACUCACUGGCAAAAACCCUGCUAUCAUUUUCCUGGGCUCUUGCCUUUGAACUGCCAAGCCUGGCUGGAGAACCUUUGCAAAGUGGCAGAUCUAGAGCACUAUAAAUUCACCAUUUCCACUUCAGAGUCUCUAUCCUCUCAAUCUUUUUGCUUCCUAUAAAUUUAUUUCUAAUUCUUUUGAAGAUUGUAAGCUUCAGUGCUGUUCUCCCCUCCAAUUCCCCUUCAUCCUCUUACCCUUUGAAAACAAACUGUUUUCUUCUCAAAGUAAGUAGAAAAUACCACUCUGGAUAUUUCUCAUCUUUAAUUUCCAGAUCUCUGGACUUGCUGGCAUGGCGUUCCUUAUGUAAUAAUGAACUGUCUCAUUGACAUCCCCACAUGGAUGUUUUACAGACGUUUCACAGUCAGUGUGUUCAAGAUUAGUCUCUUAAUCAAAUGCCUCUCCCUUUACCCAUUCUCCUUCUAGCAUUCCCCAUCUUAGAGGAAAAGAACAGCCUCUUUCCAGUUGAGUGCUCAGUUCUUAAACUUGGGAAUCAUCUUUGACUUAUUCUUCUUGACUCAAUUUUCAAUUUAUAACCAAGUCUUGUAGAUUUAAGUACUUAGUGUAUCUUUUAAUACUAUCCUUCCUGUAUAUUACAUAUUUUAUAAAUGCAGAAUAUAUAGGAAUACCUUUUCCUUUUGUAUCACAAAACAGUCAUUGUCCCUAUAUGAUUGUUAACUAUAUUUUUUUUUCUCUGAGUUGUUUUUCUAAUAGAUUAUUUUCCUAAAUUAUUUAUUACAAUUUUCCUGAGCCAUCUAAAGAUCUAUAUUUGAACAUAUAUACACUACUAUGUAUAACACAGAUAAUCAACAAGGACUUACUGUAUAGCACAGGGAAGUCUCUUCAGUAUUCUGUAUUAACCUAUAUGGGAAAACAUCUGAAAAGGAGUGGAUAAAAGAAUACGUAUAACUGAAUCACUUUGCUGUACCCCUGAAACUAACACAGUAUUGUAAAUAAAUUAUACU
rnacentral:lncRNA from 1 species